ACCGAAUCCAAAUGAAUAUUCAAAAAAUUUGAAAUGUUUAAAAUUCCAAAAGAUACUUAUACCAAACAUGAACACAUUCCAAAUAAGUGAGCAAAACACUCUAAAAUUUAAUAGAGUACAUAAAUUAUAUAUCUAUUACAUGAAUAAUUCACUCAAUGCUUAGUUUGUUAUAUUUUGGUAUUUAGUGCUCUUUUUGUUUUUGAACAACCCAACGAUAUAUUAAGAAAAUAAGUUCAGCACAAUAAGGGGUCCAUAACAGAGACAAAGUUACGGAGCACCAUCUUUGGUAACGAGUUGGCUUCCAAGAGAUAGAGGUGAACAAGAUGGAGAGUUGCUUGAUAUCAGUUAUGAUACCGAAGAUCUCUGUAUCCAUGAGCUCACUAUUGAUAACUCUGAUGAUCUUUUGGUUAUUCAAGAAAACCCUUAGGUAUUCUCGAUGUCGAUCAAAAAAAUACUCAUACCAAACAUGAACCAGUUCCAAACAAGUAACCAGAAUACUCUUAUUUUAAUAGUAUUGAUAUAAAACAAGUAUCUAUUACAUGAAUAAUUCACUCAGUCCUUAGUUUAAUAUAGUUUGGUUCACAUAGUUUUAACUGAGUCUAUUUAUAUUGCUGACAAAAAAAUUAAUAAAUAUAUUUUGGUAUUUGGUGUUCUUCCUUCUUUUAUAUAGUCGAGUUUUUCAUGUUCAAUAUAUUUUUGCUUUGGAUUUAUCGAAUAUGAUGUGUUUGCACAUAUUUUUGAGCUUUGUUCUUUAAUAUUGUUUUUAUCCUCUAAUUUCAUUUGUUAAAAAUUACAAUAGAACCAACAAGAAUUGUGACAAGCGCAUUUCUCAUUUCAAAAUUUUGUUUUUCGGUCUUUGUUUUACUGUAUUUUUAUUUGGUUUAUGUUUAACUAAGUACAAAUAAUAUUUUGGAACCGAAAAAUCCGAUUAAGAUCUGAAACCUGAAAUUAUAUUGGGUUCAACCGGGUUUUGAAAAUGUUAUUAAAUCCUAACCAAUUUUUUAAUAAUAUCCGAUAGAAACUGAAAUUUAUAAAUCCAAAAAUCUAAAAUUCGAUUGAACCCCGAACCGAAACCCGAUUGGUCCUUUGAUGCCGACUCAAUCAAUCAAAAUUAUUGUCUUUUUAAAAUGGUAACAAAUAAUGUCACGUUAGGAUUUAAAAUAUGAAAUUGGUAAUAAUUUUGAUUAAAUUUUGUUGUUUCUAAAUAUUUUAGAUAUCUUAGCUAAAUAGACAAAGAAAAAAUAUUCUAGUAAAUCAGUACGCAUGGAAUAACUCAUGUAUUUAAUUUGAAAUUGAAAAUGAUAAAAUCAAAUAAUAUAAACGAAGAAUAAAUGUAAAAAAUCUGUAGAUGUCAGAAAAAAAGAGAGUCAAAAUUUUAUUAGUUGUCAUCAAGAUUCCAAUGAUAAUAAUUCCAUAUUUGAAAAUACUAAAAAGUAAAAAAUCUUACACAAAAUAUUCAUAGCUACUUGUCAUAUAUACCUAGAGAAUCUUUUGUAGUGAUCCCACAAAACUUGUAUAUAUAAAUACUUACAAAUAUAUGAGAGAGAAUAUAUAUUAAAAAAAAACCCUAGUUCCACUUGGGAAAAUCUGAGAUCCCUAAAACAUUCCUCCGGUAUGAGGACAGAUAUGGUGAUUACGAGUAAGCGACCCCGGGCUCCAAGCUUUGCCGAUAAGCAUCCGGAGGAGACUCACGCUGCCAGCACCUUUGGUUGCGAUUGGUUCCAGGAGAAAGGGAAGGAUGAAGGUAAGCUCAAAACGUUUCUUGAGCAAUGCGGUUUCUGCAAGAAGAAGCUGCGUCACGACCAGGCCGUUUUCAUGUACGGCUACUUUGGGGCAUUCUGUUCAAAAGCGUGCAGAGCAAAACAGAUGGCAUGCGAUGUCUUUAGUGAAAAAUCACGAGAGAUUGUAAAAGCAAAGAAGGGAAGAACAUGUACUUCAGGAAUCAAACCAAAAGAUGAUGAACCACCAGGCAAUCGAGAGAGGAUCUCAUCACCACCCCGAUUUUAUAUAUGAUUGAUGAUGAUAAUGAUGUGAUUAAGGGUUGGGUGUAUAUAUACUUGUGUAAAAAGCCAUUAAUUUGUCGCCAAGGGAAAUGCCUUUACCAUCCAUCAAGUUGACAUCGGCAAUUAUUUGUUUUGUUGAUCAACAGGAGGGGGUUUAGUAGCGUAUUUGUCAGUCUAUGAUUUUUAUUUUUGAUUUUAGUAAUCAAUAAGUGUUUUUGUC